GGGUUGUGAGGUUAAGCGACUAAGCGUACACGGUGGAUGCCCUGGCAGUCAGAGGCGAUGAAGGGCGUGCUAAUCUGCGAUAAGCGCCGGUAAGGUGAUAUGAACCGUUAUAACCGGCGAUACCCGAAUGGGGAAACCCAGUGUGACUCGUCACACUAUCAUUAACUGAAUCCAUAGGUUAAUGAGGCGAACCGGGGGAACUGAAACAUCUAAGUACCCCGAGGAAAAGAAAUCAACCGAGAUUCCCCCAGUAGCGGCGAGCGAACGGGGAGGAGCCCAGAGCCUGAAUCAGCAUGUGUGUUAGUGGAAGCGUCUGGAAAGGCGCGCGAUACAGGGUGACAGCCCCGUACACAAAAGCGCAUGUGUUGUGAGCUCGAUGAGUAGGGCGGGACACGUGGUAUCCUGUCUGAAUAUGGGGGGACCAUCCUCCAAGGCUAAAUACUCCUGACUGACCGAUAGUGAACCAGUACCGUGAGGGAAAGGCGAAAAGAACCCCGGCGAGGGGAGUGAAAAAGAACCUGAAACCGUGUACGUACAAGCAGUGGGAGCACCCUUUUGGGUGUGACUGCGUACCUUUUGUAUAAUGGGUCAGCGACUUAUAUUCUGUAGCAAGGUUAACCGAAUAGGGGAGCCGGAGGGAAACCGAGUCUUAAUUGGGCGUUAAGUUGCAGGGUAUAGACCCGAAACCCGGUGAUCUAGCCAUGGGCAGGUUGAAGGUUGGGUAACACUAACUGGAGGACCGAACCGACUAAUGUUGAAAAAUUAGCGGAUGACCUGUGGCUGGGGGUGAAAGGCCAAUCAAACCGGGAGAUAGCUGGUUCUCCCCGAAAGCUAUUUAGGUAGCGCCUCGUGAAUUCAUCUCCGGGGGUAGAGCACUGUUUCGGCUAGGGGGCCAUCCCGGCUUACCAACCCGAUGCAAACUGCGAAUACCGGAGAAUGUUAUCACGGGAGACACACGGCGGGUGCUAACGUCCGUCGUGAAGAGGGAAACAACCCAGACCGCCAGCUAAGGUCCCAAAGUCAUGGUUAAGUGGGAAACGAUGUGGGAAGGCCCAGACAGCCAGGAUGUUGGCUUAGAAGCAGCCAUCAUUUAAAGAAAGCGUAAUAGCUCACUGGUCGAGUCGGCCUGCGCGGAAGAUGUAACGGGGCUAAACCAUGCACCGAAGCUGCGGCAGCGACGCUCAGGCGUUGUUGGGUAGGGGAGCGUUCUGUAAGCCUGUGAAGGUGGCCUGUGAGGGUUGCUGGAGGUAUCAGAAGUGCGAAUGCUGACAUAAGUAACGAUAAAGCGGGUGAAAAGCCCGCUCGCCGGAAGACCAAGGGUUCCUGUCCAACGUUAAUCGGGGCAGGGUGAGUCGACCCCUAAGGCGAGGCCGAAAGGCGUAGUCGAUGGGAAACGGGUUAAUAUUCCCGUACUUGGUGUUACUGCGAAGGGGGGACGGAGAAGGCUAUGUUGGCCGGGCGACGGUUGUCCCGGUUUAAGCGUGUAGGUGUGUGUUCCAGGUAAAUCCGGUUCACUUUAACACUGAGGCGUGACGACGAGGCACUACGGUGCUGAAGCAACAAAUGCCCUGCUUCCAGGAAAAGCCUCUAAGCAUCAGGUAACAUCAAAUCGUACCCCAAACCGACACAGGUGGUCAGGUAGAGAAUACCAAGGCGCUUGAGAGAACUCGGGUGAAGGAACUAGGCAAAAUGGUGCCGUAACUUCGGGAGAAGGCACGCUGACACGUAGGUGAAGUGAUUUACUCAUGGAGCUGAAGUCAGUCGAAGAUACCAGCUGGCUGCAACUGUUUAUUAAAAACACAGCACUGUGCAAACACGAAAGUGGACGUAUACGGUGUGACGCCUGCCCGGUGCCGGAAGGUUAAUUGAUGGGGUCAGCGCAAGCGAAGCUCCUGAUCGAAGCCCCGGUAAACGGCGGCCGUAACUAUAACGGUCCUAAGGUAGCGAAAUUCCUUGUCGGGUAAGUUCCGACCUGCACGAAUGGCGUAAUGAUGGCCAGGCUGUCUCCACCCGAGACUCAGUGAAAUUGAACUCGCUGUGAAGAUGCAGUGUACCCGCGGCAAGACGGAAAGACCCCGUGAACCUUUACUAUAGCUUGACACUGAACAUUGAGCCUUGAUGUGUAGGAUAGGUGGGAGGCUUUGAAGCGUGGACGCCAGUCUGCGUGGAGCCGACCUUGAAAUACCACCCUUUAAUGUUUGAUGUUCUAACGUGGACCCGUUACCCGGGUUGCGGACAGUGUCUGGUGGGUAGUUUGACUGGGGCGGUCUCCUCCUAAAGAGUAACGGAGGAGCACGAAGGUUGGCUAAUCCUGGUCGGACAUCAGGAGGUUAGUGCAAUGGCAUAAGCCAGCUUGACUGCGAGCGUGACGGCGCGAGCAGGUGCGAAAGCAGGUCAUAGUGAUCCGGUGGUUCUGAAUGGAAGGGCCAUCGCUCAACGGAUAAAAGGUACUCCGGGGAUAACAGGCUGAUACCGCCCAAGAGUUCAUAUCGACGGCGGUGUUUGGCACCUCGAUGUCGGCUCAUCACAUCCUGGGGCUGAAGUAGGUCCCAAGGGUAUGGCUGUUCGCCAUUUAAAGUGGUACGCGAGCUGGGUUUAGAACGUCGUGAGACAGUUCGGUCCCUAUCUGCCGUGGGCGCUGGAGAACUGAGGGGGGCUGCUCCUAGUACGAGAGGACCGGAGUGGACGCAUCACUGGUGUUCGGGUUGUCAUGCCAAUGGCACUGCCCGGUAGCUAAAUGCGGAAGAGAUAAGUGCUGAAAGCAUCUAAGCACGAAACUUGCCCCGAGAUGAGUUCUCCCUGAGACUUAGAGUCUCCUGAAGGAACGUUGAAGACGACGACGUUGAUAGGCCGGGUGUGUAAGCGCAGCGAUGCGUUGAGCUAACCGGUACUAAUGAACCGUGAGGCUUAACCUUACAACGCCGAAGCUGUU
rnacentral:rRNA from 1 species